rnacentral:rRNA from 1 species
CCAGAGAAUAGCUAUGCAAGAUGAGAUAUUUUCUGGCGGGGAAUCGGCUUAGUCGAAUAAAGUUCUAGAUAGAAUAGUGAUUAUGACAAUUUUCUAUCUAAAUGUCUUGACCAAGUCACGUGCCAGCAGUCGCGGUAAUACGUGGAAGACUAGUGUUAUUCAUCUUUAAUAGGUUUAAAGGGUACCUAGACGGUAUUUCUAGCCCCAAAAGGGUACGGAUUUACUAGAGUUUUAUGUGAGAGGCAAAUAUUAGUACUAUUGGUGUAGAGAUGAAAUUCUUUGAUACUACUAGGACUGGUGGCGGCGAUAGCAACCCUAUAAGUAUAAACUGACGUUGAGGGACGAAGGCUUGGGUAGCGAAUAGGAUUAGAUACCCUAGUAGUCCAGGCAGAAAAUUAUGAGUGCCAUAGACUAGAUUAAAUAAUUUUGGUCUAUAAAUGAAAGUGUAAGCAUUCCACCUCAAGAGUAAUGUGGCAACGCAGGAACUGAAAUCAUUAGACCGUUUCUGAAACCAGUAGUGAAGUAUGUUAUUUAAUUCGAUAACCCUCGAAAAACCUUACCACAAUUUGAAUGUAAUACAUGUACUCUAAUAAUUGUCUAGUCAACAAUUACAUGUAUUAACACAAGCGUUGCACGGCGGUCUUCAGUUAAUGUCGUGAGAACUUGGUUAGAUCCAUUAAAUUAACGUAAUCCCUUUCUUUAUUUAUAUUAAUUAGGAAG